AUUGAACGCUGGCGGCGUGCCUAACACAUGCAAGUCGAGCGGUAACAGUGUAGCAAUACAUGCUGACGAGCGGCGAACGGGUGAGUAAUGCUUCGGAAUCUACCCAAUGGUGGGGAAUAACCAGCCGAAAGGUUGGCUAAUACCGCAUACGUCCCACGGGAGAAAGCGAGGGGAUCGCAAGACCUUGCGCCAAUGGAUGAGCCGAAGUCGGAUUAGCUAGGUUGGAGGGUAACGGCCUACCAAGGCGACGAUCCGUAGCUGGUCUGAGAGGACGACCAGCCACACUGGGACUGAGACACGGCCCAGACUCCUACGGGAGGCAGCAGUGGGGAAUAUUGGACAAUGGGGAAACCCGUGAUCCAGCGACGCCGCGUGUGUGAAGAAGGC
rnacentral:rRNA from 1 species